CCUACGGGAGGCAGCAGUAGGGAAUAUUGCUCAAUGGGGGAAACCCUGAAGCAGCAACGCCGCGUGGAGGAUGAAGGUUUUCGGAUUGUAAACUCCUUUUGUUAGAGAAGAUAAUGACGGUAUCUAACGAAUAAGCACCGGCUAACUCCGUGCCAGCAGCCGCGGCAAUACGGAGGGUGCAAGAGUUACUCGGAAUCACUGGGCGUAAAGGGCGCGUAGGCGGGUUAGCAAGUCAGAUGUGAAAUCCUAUGGCUUAACCAUAGAACUGCAUUUGAAACUGUUAUUCUAGAGUAUGGGAGAGGUAGGUGGAAUUCGUGGUGUAGGGGUGAAAUCCGUAGAGAUCAAGAGGAAGACUCAUUGCGAAGGCGACCUGCUAGAACAUAACUGACGCUGAUGCGCGAAAGUGUGGGGAGCAAACAGGAUUAGAUACCCCGGUAGUC
rnacentral:rRNA from 1 species